rnacentral:rRNA from 1 species
UACGAAGGGGGCUAGCGUUGCUCGGAAACACUGGGCGUAAAGGGUGCGUAGGCGGGUCUUUAAGUCAGGGGUGAAAUCCUGGAGCUCAACUCCAGAACUGCCUUUGAUACUGAGGAUCUUGAGUUCGGGAGAGGUGAGUGGAACUGCGAGUGUAGAGGUGAAAUUCGUAGAUAUUCGCAAGAACACCAGUGGCGAAGGCGGCUCACUGGCCCGGUACUGACGCUGAGGUGCGAAAGCGUGGGGAGCAAACAGGG